rnacentral:rRNA from 1 species
ACGUAGGGUGCGAGCGUUAAUCGGAAUUACUGGGCGUAAAGCGUGCGCAGGCGGUUUCGUAAGACAGACGUGAAAUCCCCGGGCUCAACCUGGGAACUGCGUUUGUGACUGCGAGGCUAGAGUAUGGCAGAGGGGGGUGGAAUUCCACGUGUAGCAGUGAAAUGCGUAGAUAUCCGGAGGAACACCGGUGGCGAAGGCGGCUUCCUGGACCGACACUGACGCUGAGGCGCGAAAGCUAGGGGAGCAAACGGGA